AUGUGUCCUUCUCGUAGGAACUUCUUCCUCUUCGGCCCGCUGAGUAGCUGGCACUUGAAGGCAGGUGCCAACGCACCGGCGACACGCUUCCGUGUUUGCCCAGGAAAAACUGCGGUGCAGGUAUGCACAUCGUUUACGGGAUCAGCCACCGGCAGUUGCCUUGCAACCGUGAUGACAAAUCUCUGCCGGCUCUUUUGGGUCUCAUCCCUGUAUCUAUAAAUUGCAUCCCAACAUAAAGAUCGGAAUGUUCCUUUUGCUGGCCCAAUCUCUCACCCUUUCCAAACUCCAGAAAUCUUGUCUGUCCUCCGCAAAACACCCCUGCUUCUUUCUCUGAAGGCGGUCUUCAGGCCGGGCACACUGGGAGGAUCGCCCCGGAGCCCGGGAAGGCCGCAGCGAGGUGAGGUGAGAUCACACCAUUGCACUGCAGCCCCGGCUGCAGAGCCGGAGCCCCGUCUCGAAACAAACAAACACACACACACACACACACACACACACACACACACACACAAAGAAAGAGCCCAGGCAACCUAGUGAAACCCUGUUAGGGCUGGAAGUAUCUGCACCCCAGCUAUUCUAGAGGCUGAGGCAGGAGGAUGGAUGGAGGCUGGGAGGUGGGUGCUGCACUGAGCAGCGACUGCACCGCUGCACUCCAGCCUGGGUGACAGAGCCAGACCCCAUCCCAAAUCAAUAAACAUAAAAAUAAAGGAACCAGUUUGUAGAAAGCGGGAGAGGGUCCCAUUGAACUUCAAGCCUUCAGGCUACAGCUGCGGCUGGACAGGUUGGAGCAGCAGGCUGGAGCAGUGGCCAUCUUGGCCGGGAUCAUUGACCCUGAUCUAUCAUCGGGAGGAGGAAGAGCUGAUCUCAUGCAGGGAGGGCAGGUGGACUACGUGUGGACUCUGGUGAUCUGUUUGGGUGCCAGGUGUUGCUCCCAGGGCCACCUGUAACUGUGAAUGUGCGGGAACCCUGACUUGAGAAGGGCGUGGCCACGGCGAGCCUCGGCCCCUCAGGGAUGAGAGUUUGGUUCACGGUACCCAGGGAAACCACCAGCAUCGGCAGUGGUGAUAGCUGAGGAGGAGGGGGGAUUUGGAGGAGAGACACAGGAUGAGUAGCAGGGGCAGCCCUGUGAUCAACAACUGCUGCAAGAGGGGCUGUUUGUUCGACUCACUAGUCUUCUGCGGCUCUAUGCAGUACUGAAGAGCAGAAGACAGAAGACACAAAGACCACAAAAAUUAGCCGAGUGGUGCUGUGCGUCCAUAAUCCCAGCUACUCGGGAGGCUGAGACAGGAGAAUCGCUUGAACCCGGGCGUGGGAAGGUUCAGCGAGCCUAGAUCACGCCAUUCCAGUCCAACCUGAGCAUUCGAGCGAGACUCUUAUCUCGGAAAAUAAAGACAGAAUUAAAGAGCCCAGUGCGGUGGCUUACAUCUGUGAUCCCAGCGCUUUGGGAGGCCCAGGCGGGCGGAUCGCCUGAGGUCAGGAGCUCGAGACCAGCCUGGCCAACGUGGCGAAAGCCCCGGAAAAAUACAAAAAUCAGCCAGGGCGUGGUGGCGUCGCCUGUAAUCCCAGUUACCCGGAGGCUGGCCUUGGGAGAAUCGGCUGGAACCCGGGAGGUAGGGGCUGGACUGAGCUGAGAUCGUGCCACUGCACUCCAGCCUGAGUGACAGAGCAAGACUUUGUCUCAAGGAAACACAAAACAAAACAAAACAAAACAAAAACAAACAAACAGCAACAAAAAACCGGGCGGCGGUGGCUCACGCCUGUAAUCCCAACACUUUGGGAGGCGGCAGCUGGGCAGAUCACCAGAGGUAGGGAGUUGGAGACCAGCCUGACCAACAUGGAGAAAGCCCGUCUGUACUAAAAGUACAAACUUAGCCGGGCGUGGUGGCGCAUGCCUGUAGUCCCAGCUACUCGGGAGGCUGAGGCAGGAGAAUCGCUUGAACCCGGGAGGCAGGAGGGUGCGGUGAGCCCAGAUCGCGCCAUUGGACUCCAGCCUGGGUAACAAGAGCGGAACCUCCGUCAGAAAAAAGAAAAAAAAAAAUGUGAGAGUUGUACUCAUCCUGUCUUCAAAAUCCCAUGUGUAUUUGACACUUUACAGCACAGCUCCAUUAGAACUGACCACAUUUCCAGGGCUCCCUAGAUACCUGUGGCUAGCGGCUGC
rnacentral:lncRNA from 1 species